rnacentral:piRNA from 1 species
UUGGUCCAGCCAUUUGAUUCCAGUGG